CAGCAGCCACGGUAAUACGUAGGGCGCAAGCGUUAUCCGGAAUUAUUGGGCGUAAAGAGCUCGUAGGCGGUUUGUCGCGUCUGCCGUGAAAGUCCGGGGCUCAACCCCGGAUCUGCGGUGGGUACGGGCAGACUAGAGUGAUGUAGGGGAGACUGGAAUUCCUGGUGUAGCGGUGAAAUGCGCAGAUAUCAGGAGGAACACCGAUGGCGAAGGCGGGUCUCUGGGCAUUAACUGACGCUGAGGAGCGAAAGCAUGGGGAGCGAACAGGAUUAGAUACCCGUGUAGUCCCUGUCUCUUAUAC
rnacentral:rRNA from 1 species